CGCAGCGCCGCCCUGGGUGGCGGCCUAGGCCCGGGGCCGGGGUGCUGGAGAUAUAGAUAGAUAGAUAUAUAGCUAUAGAUAUAUCUAUAUAUAUAGAUAUAAUAUCUCCAGUGGGCUGGAUAUAUUCAGCCAUUUGGUCCCAAAACAUGACAGUCUUUUUUUUUUUUGUUCCUUCAUUAUUCUGUGACUGAGGUUUUAAGAAACAAUAUCAAAUGCUGUUUAUCCAGACCCAAGACAAAACUUGAACUAAUUGGCAAUGCUGACUGACACGGGAGGCCACGCUGAGGCUGAAGACACGCUAGUCCUUCUUCAUUCUAGGAGAAAAGGAUAAAUAAGUUUCUUUAUGGAGCAUGACAGCCGAAAAUAUAAAAGCCACCAACUGGUACAGCAGCUAGAUAGAAAGCUUGAGCUAAAGCUAACUCAUAAGUAGUAAGAGGAAUUUCUCUUGCAACUGAAGAAAAUGAAGAAGCUGAGGCACUGACUAGAUUCUGCUUGUGCGUAAGGAGCAUAAAGCUAUCAGAAAACGUAGAGCAGAUGAGGAGAUAAAUUAGCGUGAUCUUGAGAGGGAGCCUGAACUCAGAAACUAUGAGCGAGGAAAUUGCUCCUAUUAUUCCUCCUGAUCUUUAGCAAUAAACAGGAUCAUAUCAAAUCUAUCUCAUUCCAUUCUCUAUUUUUCUCCCAAAUAUUGUCUAGCUACAUGGGGCCAAAGGGGCAAGAGCAAAGACUUCAACUGUGGAUGCAGCUAUACUGGACUAAAGACGUUCAACUCUCACAGCAGGGUUGGAGGCAUCUUAGGCGCCGUGACUCAUCUGAAGCUUAUUGGCUCCAUGACGCUCCCCUUCCUAUGUGAUCUGACAUGUCAGAUCUCCCCAUGUUUAUCUGUUUCCACCAGGCCUGCUCAACCUUCCUUCUGCCUAAAGCCUCCCCUCAACAGGAAUUGUCAUUUAAUGUACAUUUUGCACAGCACCUUCUGCAGUGGAGGCCCAACUUGGCUGGACUUGUCAUUGCCUAAGAAUCCAAGGUAACAAAUUGCUGAAUAGUUAACAAAAAAUAAAUAUUGUCCUAUCUAAAAAUAACA
rnacentral:lncRNA from 1 species